AAGAAAUUAGUUAAAGUAUAACAUUAGUAUGUCAUACUAAAAUUAUUAUAAUAUUUAAUAUUUCUUU
rnacentral:tRNA from 1 species